CCUACGGGAGGCUGCAGUGGGGGAUAUUGCACAAUGGGGGGAACCCUGAUGCAGCGACGCCGCGUGUGGGAAGACGGUCCUCUGGAUUGUAAACCACUGUCCCUAGGGACGAAAAUGACGGUACCUGGGGAGGAAGCUCCGGCUAACUACGUGCCAGCAGCCGCGGUAAUACGUAGGGAGCGAGCGUUGUCCGGAAUUACUGGGUGUAAAGGGAGUGUAGGCGGAUAUGUAAGAUAGCGGUGAAAUGCCGGGGCUCAACCCCGGAACUGCCAUUAUGACUAUGUAUCUAGAGUAAUGGAGAGGAUAGCGGAAUACCCAGUGUAGAGGUGAAAUUCGUAGAUAUUGGGUAGAACACCGGUGGCGAAGGCGGCUGUCUGGCCAUUUACUGACGCUGAGGCUCGAAAGCAUGGGGAUCAAACAGGAUUAGAUACCCGGGUAGUC
rnacentral:rRNA from 1 species